AAGACUAUACUUUCAGGGAUCAUUUCUAUAGUUUUUAACUUGAGAAAUGUGUUUCUAACUUGUAUGGUCUCGCUAACCACGAUGAUGAGUUACUGAUACUCCUUCCUGAGCGCGAAGCGGGUGGAGAGUUAUGAUUAAUUUCAUGUGCUCUCCACCAUUGAUGACCGUUCACUACUUCUUCGGAAGCAGCGAGGGUUGGAGUAUGGUCAGAGUGGU